UUUUGUGCCUGGCUUCUUUUACUUAGCAUAAUGUUUUCAAGGUUCAUCCAUGUUGUAGGGGCCAACUUCAUUCUUUUGCAUAUAGUUAUUCAGUUGUCCAGUACCACUUGCUGAAGAGAACAUUCUUUCCCCAUUAACUAGUCUGAGCUCUCCUGUGGAAAAAUCAAUUGGCCAUAGGUGCGUGGGUGUACUUAUGGACUCUCACCACCAUUGGUCUAUACGUCUACCCUUAAGCUAGCACCCCACUGAUUUAAUUACUUUGUAGUAAGUUUCAAAACUGGAGAGUUUGACUCCUCCAACUUAGAUUUUCCAUUUCUAUACUGUUUUGGCUAUCGGGGGCCCCUUACAGUUCCUUAUGAACUUGAGGAUCAGCUUUUCCAUUUCUGCUAAAAAAAAAAAAGCCACUGGAAUUUUGACAGGGACUGCAUUAGAUCUACACAUUUUAGAGUUUUCAGUAUACAAGUUUUUCAUAUCAUUGGUUUAAUUUAUUCCUGGGUAUUUUAUUGUUUUGAAUGCUAGCAUAAAUGAAAUUUUCUUAAUUUCCUUUUUGUUUCUUCACUGCUGGUAUUGGGAAACGUUCUAACUUUGUGCUGAUUGUUUAUUUUUUUAUUUUAUUUUUUUAAUUUUUUUAAUGUUUAUUUAUUUUUGAGAGACAGAGACAGCAUGAGUGGGGGAGGGGCAGAGAGAGAAGAAGACACAGAAUCCGAAGCAGGCUCCAGGCUCCGAACUGUCAGCACAGAGCCCAACCCGGGGCUCGAACUCACGAGCUGUGACAUCAUGACCUGAGCCGAAGUCAGAUGCUCAACCAACUGAGCCACCCAGGUGCCCCUGUGCUGAUUGUUUACUCUGCAACUCUGCUAGCUAUGUUUAUUAGCUCUAGAGGUUGGGUGACUCCCACAAAGGUGGUGACUGGCCUGCAGUUACACGUUAACAGGUGGCACAGCCAAGACGAGAAUCUAGGUCCCUCGACUUCAAUAUUCAUUCCAAUGAACUAUGCUGCAAAUAAUUUUACACACGAGACCAGAGAUGGAGCCAUUUAGAGCCCCAAACUUUCCUCCUAAGAGUUUGGUUUUAUGUUACCAUUUCCCCAAAACUACUAUCAGACAACAAUAGCAUAUCCGUAAUAAUGUAAAAUCAUAUUUUUAA